AAUGCCGAGUUUACAGUGUAUAGUAAAAUUACCAAAACACAUUGUGGUGAUUACCAUGUUUCAAUUGACAGUACCAUCAUACCAUGGUAGCUUCAACUUUGGCCCGUAGUAAAAGCAAACGAGCAACUUCUGAGGCAGUUAGAAGUUUUUUACCGUUUCGUACAGGAGAAAAAUUGUUCGAGAUCAACAAUUUUAAUUGCUUUUCUAAUAAAUGUGCCUGCAAUAAGAUGAAACGGAGCGGCGCAUGCAUUCGCACACAAUGUGACCACUUUCCAGCAGGCAAAAAAUCAGUCGAGAAUAACCAGCUUGUGAAUUAUAUAUAGGAGUAAAUCGAACUUUCGGGAGUAAAUUGAACUACAAGAAUGUUGCAUACCUGCCCAAUAAAUUUUGUCCUGGCUAUUUUCAACUCAUUUCGGAAACUGGCACUCGAUGGAGGUCUUUGAUCGAUUUGAGCGGGGUAUACAGAUAGAGCACCGGACCCGGAAAAGAGGCAAGAAGCGAUGGAAUCAUGUCAACGGCUUGUAAAGAACCCUGACAGCGAUGUGGAUGUGGAGAUCCCCGAGGAGCUUACAACGCGGUAGCUGUUCUAGACCACAUUCACGACAAAGCGUAGGCGUCCCGGAAUGGAACUGCUCCCUCGAUUGUUCCAGUAGUCACAUUCGAUUCAAACAGUGUUGUUAAUAGCGAUCAAAACACCUCAGUUCUUCUGGUAUAUUUAUGACUAUAGUACGUAACAUUGUUAAUACUAGAUGUAAUGAAAAAACAUGCAAAUAAAUAAAUAACAGAUUGGUGACUUUUUUGU